CAGCAGCCAGGGUCAGUAUAAGGCUGGACUGGCAACGAGAUUGUUCCUAAAAGAUGGAUCCAUACCCACUGUCCAUGGCAACGCCACAGAUGAAGGAACUCCAAGCACAUCUGUACAGCAGCCUGUGGUGCUUCAUGUUGCCUGCCAGACAGACCAACCAGUGACAUGCACAGUUGGCACACAGCUUUCCAUGAGAACUCUCCAGCCUCACUUCAGAAGCACAGGCACACAGAAAUCAGUGUCCUGUGCUGAUGUUGGAGUUGGCACCUCAACCAUUGCCUUCUCAACUUCUCAACCAUUCUUAUCAUCAAUCCCAAUAAAGAGACCACGCAAAAGGGCUCGCUUGGAACUGGAGGAGGAGGA